rnacentral:ncRNA from 2 species
ACCUUUGCAUCUGAUUUCGGUGUAGCCGCGAUGCUUCCGUAUCCGGUUAGUAAAAGGGAAUCCGGUGAAAGACCGGAGCUGUACCCGUAGCCGUAAGUUCUUAACACCUCGGCAUAUCUAUCCGCCACUGGCUCGAUACGAGCCGGGAAGGCAGCCGACCAAAGGAGGAACGAGCCGGAAAACCUGCCGGAAUCGGAUACUCAGA